UACGUAGGGUGCGAGCGUUGUCCGGAAUUAUUGGGCGUAAAGAGCUUGUAGGCGGUUUGUCGCGUCUGCUGUGAAAAUCCGGGGCUCAACCCCGGACUUGCAGUGGGUACGGGCAGACUAGAGUGUGGUAGGGGAGACUGGAAUUCCUGGUGUAGCGGUGAAAUGCGCAGAUAUCAGGAGGAACACCGGUGGCGAAGGCGGGUCUCUGGGCCGACAUUGACGCUGAUGAGCGAAAGCUAGGGGAGCAAACGGG
rnacentral:rRNA from 1 species